GCCGCGUGUGUGAAGAAGGCUUUCGGGUUGUAAAGCACUUUCAGCGAGGAAGAAAGCCUCUGGGUUAAUACCCCAGAGGAAGGACAUCACUCGCAGAAGAAGCACCGGCUAACUCCGUGCCAGCAGCCGCGGUAAUACGGAGGGUGCGAGCGUUAAUCGGAAUUACUGGGCGUAAAGCGCGCGUAGGUGGCUUGGCACGCCGGUUGUGAAAGCCCCGGGCUCAACCUGGGAACGGCAUCCGGAACGGCCAGGCUAGAGUGCAGGAGAGGAAGGUAGAAUUCCCGGUGUAGCGGUGAAAUGCGUAGAGAUCGGGAGGAAUACCAGUGGCGAAGGCGGCCUUCUGGCCUGACACUGACACUGAGGUGCGAAAGCGUGGGUAGCAAACAGGAUUAGAUACCCUGGUAGUCCACGCCGUAAACGAUGUCGACUAGCCGUUGGGACCUUUAAGGACUUAGUGGCGCAGUUAACGCGAUAAGUCGACCGCCUGGGGAGUACGGCCGCAAGGUUAAA
rnacentral:rRNA from 2 species